CCUCUCGCUGUGUCUCUGUCAAAUAAAUAAAAAAAAAUCUUAAAAAAAAAAGUUUGCUCAAAUCCUAUUCAUUAGCAUUCCUCUCAAAGGAGUUUCAUAACUUCAUAUAAAUGUAAAUGCUGUUUCUGAAUUUAGAUUUUCUGUUUCUAGAACCAACUCUGCCUUCCUCUGGCUCAGACCUUUGAACCAGUCCCUGUUCUGUGUGAAAAACAUUCCUAAUGCUGAAGGCCCAUGCAAUUUUUACAACCACUAUGGAUCCUGGCUACCUAGGGAAGAGAGCUUCUACCACAGACUUCCACGAGCUGCCAACCACACAAAGUAUAUUAGGGCCCCUUCCCUAUAUUUCAAGUCUUGCCUAAAAGAAGAGCCAUAUUAUUGGAUCAAGGGUAAGUGCCCAUCCCCGUCUUCCUCCUCCUUAGCAGAUUCUCAAAU